AUGAACGCUAGCUACAGGCUUAACACAUGCAAGUCGAGGGGCAGCAUGGUCUUAGCUUGCUAAGGCCGAUGGCGACCGGCGCACGGGUGAGUAACACGUAUCCAACCUGCCGUCUACUCUUGGACAGCCUUCUGAAAGGAAGAUUAAUACAAGAUGGCAUCAUGAGUCCACAUGUUCACAUGAUUAAAGGUAUUCCGGUAGACGAUGGGGAUGCGUUCCAUUAGAUAGUAGGCGGGGUAACGGCCCACCUAGUCUUCGAUGGAUAGGGGUUCUGAGAGGAAGGUCCCCCACAUUGGAACUGAGACACGGUCCAAACUCCUACGGGAGGCAGCAGUGAGGAAUAUUGGUCAAUGGGCGAGAGCCUGAACCAGCCAAGUAGCGUGAAGGAUGACUGCCCUAUGGGUUGUAAACUUCUUUUAUAAAGGAAUAAAGUCGGGUAUGGAUACCCGUUUGCAUGUACUUUAUGAAUAAGGAUCGGCUAACUCCGUGCCAGCAGCCGCGGUAAUACGGAGGAUCCGAGCGUUAUCCGGAUUUAUUGGGUUUAAAGGGAGCGUAGAUGGAUGUUUAAGUCAGUUGUGAAAGUUUGCGGCUCAACCGUAAAAUUGCAGUUGAUACUGGAUAUCUUGAGUGCAGUUGAGGCAGGCGGAAUUCGUGGUGUAGCGGUGAAAUGCUUAGAUAUCACGAAGAACUCCGAUUGCGAAGGCAGCCUGCUAAGCUGCAACUGACAUUGAGGCUCGAAAGUGUGGGUAUCAAACAGGAUUAGAUACCCUGGUAGUCCACACGGUAAACGAUGAAUACUCGCUGUUUGCGAUAUACUGCAAGCGGCCAAGCGAAAGCGUUAAGUAUUCCACCUGGGGAAUACGCCGGCAACGGUGAAACUCAAAGGAAUUGACGGGGGCCCGCACAAGCGGAGGAACAUGUGGUUUAAUUCGAUGAUACGCGAGGAACCUUACCCGGGCUUGAAUUGCAACUGAAUGAUGUGGAGACAUGUCAGCCGCAAGGCAGUUGUGAAGGUGCUGCAUGGUUGUCGUCAGCUCGUGCCGUGAGGUGUCGGCUUAAGUGCCAUAACGAGCGCAACCCUUGUUGUCAGUUACUAACAGGUCAUGCUGAGGACUCUGACAAGACUGCCAUCGUAAGAUGUGAGGAAGGUGGGGAUGACGUCAAAUCAGCACGGCCCUUACGUCCGGGGCUACACACGUGUUACAAUGGGGGGUACAGAGGGCCGCUACCACGCGAGUGAAUGCCAAUCCCAAAAACCUCUCUCAGUUCGGACUGGAGUCUGCAACCCGACUCCACGAAGCUGGAUUCGCUAGUAAUCGCGCAUCAGCCACGGCGCGGUGAAUACGUUCCCGGGCCUUGUACACACCGCCCGUCAAGCCAUGGGAGCCGGGGGUACCUGAAGUGCGUAACCGCGAGGAGCGCCCUAGGGUAAAACUGGUGACUGGGGCU
rnacentral:rRNA from 1 species